GACGAACGCUGGCGGCGUGCUUAACACAUGCAAGUCGAACGGAAAGGCCCUGCUUUUGUGGGGUGCUCGAGUGGCGAACGGGUGAGUAACACGUGAGUAACCUGCCCUUGACUUUGGGAUAACUUCAGGAAACUGGGGCUAAUACCGGAUAGGAGCUCCUGCUGCAUGGGGGGGUUGGAAAGUUUCGGCGGUUGGGGAUGGACUCGCGGCUUAUCAGCUUGUUGGUGGGGUAGUGGCUUACCAAGGCUUUGGCGGGUAGCCGGCCUGAGAGGGUGACCGGCCACAUUGGGACUGAGAUACGGCCCAGACUCCUACGGGAGGCAGCAGUGGGGAAUAUUGCACAAUGGGCGGAAGCCUGAUGCAGCAACGCCGCGUGCGGGAUGACGGCCUUCGGGUUGUAAACCGCUUUCGCCUGUGACGAAGCGUGAGUGACGGUAAUGGGUAAAGAAGCACCGGCUAACUACGUG
rnacentral:rRNA from 1 species